GAGCAGUUCGGCUCCGGCCGUCCUUGCAGAAGUUCUUUUUACCGUCCAUCAUCUGUCGUCACCACACCUUCUACUUAUAAGCAUAAUCUGGAAUGGAAUGUCAUCUUUUGACAUCAUGUGAGAUGACAGUGCUGAGAACAAGGGUGAGCUUUAUAGCCGACCUAAGGAUUUGUUAGCAUGACUCCCAGAGGCUUCUGGGAAAGUGACCCCUCUCCUGGCUCUCCAGUACUCAGUUUAAGAAUAUACUUGCAUCAGGAUGCAGCAGGCUGCCUGCACCAAGAAUGAUGAAUGGGGACUAUUCAUGCUUCAGUUUACUGUAUUGUGUUGAAAUGCCUCCUAUAUUAUAUUCAGUGUUGUACUGAGAGGUUGAGUAUACAAAUAACAGAGCCCAGAACAUAUAUAAAAACAGAACUCUGACCUACGGCUUGCAACAACCUGCCCAGGAAAUCAACCAAUCCAGGAAGCCAGGCUGCUAUAAGUUAGACCUGCAGGAAGUCUGACUGCUAUCUCUAGUGAUGGGUCCAGGAAGCCAGACAAUAGCCAUAGUAACAAUUGGCCCCAAAUGACCAGGCUUUGAUUAAUUACAGACAGUUUUCCUAAUAUUUGUCCCCAGCCUGCCUACAACUUCCUCAUGUCUACAGUUAUCAAUCAGGGCAUACCUGAAGCUUUAUCUUUUUUCCAACCUUCUGCCUGCCUUUGAGUAUCUGCCAAAAUCCAAGUGACAGUAGCUGGCCCCCCUGCUGUAGAAGCUCUGAAUAAAUAGCCUUUGCUUGUUCUCAUUUGGUUGGCCUUUGCUUAUUUCCACUAUAAAGUUAAAGAAGGUACUUCUGGUGUCAAAGAAGUGGUCCCCAGCACAUCCCCAGGCUACUUUACUGAGAGAACUUAUCCAGUCUUAGGUGUUUAGUGCUAGAUAUAAAGAGAAAGACUAUUAACUCUCCAGAAAGACUGAUAUGAUUCUCACUUGGGUCUUAGCAUCUGUAACUACCUGCCCAGUGAUGAGAAUUUCAGAAGCUGGAAUCUCCAUCUGGCCUGAUGUUGCUGACCUCUGUGAUACGUAUCAUGACUGUGCUAACUUCCUUUUACAUCCUUGAGAUAAUUAAACCCUGCUUGAUCCAUCCAUGGAGCAUGUGUCUGGUCUUUGC